UGUGGUGUAAUGAUAAUUUGAGAGGCACUGUCAAAGGGAAGCAUGUGAAGAGCCCUUUAACUGAUUAUUAACUAAGAUUGUAAGCUGUGAAAAGCACAAAUUUGAAAACAAUGAAUAAAUAAUGGAGAAAUGUGCUUAAAUUAUGGAUUAUAAGUGUAUCAGUGAGUGAACACACCACCACCCACGCACCCACCACCAUGUAGUGGGAGCCCAGGGUUCGGUUGGUCAAGCAGUCUGCCCUUGUGGUCUGUGGGGAGAAGACUUGCGUGUCGUGCUGCUCUCAUCCUGCCGGUACCUUUGCUAUUAAGUCAUUGGUGUGGUAACUGUGACCUGCCCUGACCUGCCUGUGACCUGCCUGUGACCUGCCUGUGACCUGCUAUUAACCUGCUUUUGACCUGCCUUGACUUCCUCUGACACACAUGGUGAACCGAGACCUUCCGAGACCUUCCAAGACCUUCCAAAAUCUGCCGUGACCCACAGAUGAGGAUGUAUAGAUUUAAGAAGUGCGAUGAUGCGAGACAGACAGACAGACAGACAGACAGACAGGUGUGGGAUGAGUGCUGGCAUACUGAAGGUCAAGAGGUCAAGAGGUCAAGAGUCACGUGUUGAGUCGUAUGGGUCACCAGACAGGUCGUUCACCUAACCCCACUCAGCCUGUCAGUUCAGCAGCAACACUGUCAUGGAAGAAUUUGCCGCAAGCUGUGUCUCUCUGUGCUUGUUAUCCGAACCUUGUGUCUAAUAUUGCCUUAAUGUUGUGUGUGUGUGUGUGAGAGAGAGAGAGAGAGAGAGAGAGAGAGAGAGAUUUUGUUACUCGUCAUGUCCCCUGUACCAACUGAAGACCUCCACCAGACCCCCUCUUAGUCACCCUUGUUGUGUCCCCUGUACCACUUGAAGACCUCCACCUGACCCCCUCUUAGUCACCCUUGUUGUGUCCCCUGUACCACUUGAAGACCUCCACCAGACCCCCUCUUAGUCACCCUUGUCAUGUCCCCUGUACCACUUGAAGACCUCCACCUGACCCCCUCUUAGUCACCCUUCUGAGGUACAAUAGUGUCCAGUCAUCCUUCCUAUGUCAUCCUUGUGUAAUCAGGAAUAAUUAUCAGCAUUUGUUCUCCUCCUCCUCCUCCUCCUCCUCCUGUCUGUCUGUCUGUCUGUCUGCCUACCAGUUAAAAUGAUUUAUGUAGUCAGUUAUACUUGUGAAUACUGUGUGUGUGUGUGUGUGUGUGUGUGUGUAUAUAUGAAUUAAUGUUUAUUGUGAAGUAUCUGCCUGCCUGCUUGCAAAUUAAUUAUCAAUAUAGUUACUGUUUGUGUGUUUGUGUGUUAUAAAGCAAUCUUGUAAUGUAUAUUAUUGGUUGUAUUCCACAUGUAUGGGCUGGCCAGACGUGAUGUACUGUGACAGCCAGAACCUUGACAUAUACUGCUUGAUAAAAAUGAAAAUAAGCAAAAAAACAUGAAUAAAGUACAAAUUUUGAGCCGAACUAAUGAGGACUUUCUCUCGUCUUUUUCAGAGGUGCGUACAUCUGCGAGUCAGCCCAACCAACCCCUUAUAUCCUACCUUAUUCUGAUAUAUUAGGUUAGAUUCAGUUAGGUUACUUAUAUUGGGGGCCUGUCUUCCUUACUAACCUAACCUAACCUAACCCAUUCCUUCCUUCUCGUCAAGCUGUUGGUGGGAGAAGCCCCAGGACUCUCAAGCGUGGGUUGAGUCACAACUGCGGGUGUGCUAGCUCACCUUGAAGUCCGGCGGGGCUCACGUGUUGCAGUGUUGCAGUGUUGCAGAUCUUCACCCAAACAAGGGGAGUAUUGUUUUUGUAUUUUGUAUAUAUAUAUUUUUUUUGGGGGGAGGGGGUCUGUGGAUAGCUAUCUGCGGUGUGCGUCUGUGUGUGCGUCUGUGUGUGCGUCUGUGUGUGCGUCUGUGCGUGUGCGUCUGUGCACGUGCGUCUGUGUGCGUGCAUCUGUGUGUACGUGUCUUUUUUUUGGUUGUGUGUGUGUGAAUAUUUUUUUUGGUAUAAAUAUAUAGGUGGCAGGCCAUAGUGUUAGGAUAUUUGACGCAGAUUAAUAUAGAAGAUGGUUUAGGUUAGUUAAGAGUUAAGUGAGGCAUAGAGAGAGAGAGAGAGAGAGAGAGAGAGAGAGAGAGAGAGAGAGAGAGGGGAAGACAGAUAUUAAUAGGAUUAGCUUAUAUUUUUUAGGGUUUUAAGUAAGUAUCCAGGUGGCAGGUCAGAAUAUAAUAAUAUUUAACACAGAUUAAUAUAGAAGAUGGUUUUAAGUUAGUAUAUAUCAAAGGGUUAAGUUAGGCAUAGAGAGAGAGAGAGAAAGGGUUAAUAGUAUUAGGAUGACAGGAGUAUAUAUGAAAGGGUUAAGUGAGGCAUAGAGAGAGAGAGAGAAAGGGUUAUUAAUAGGAUGACAGGAGUAUAUAUCAAAGGGUUAAGUGAGGCAUAGAAAGGGUUAUUAAUAGGAUUAGGAUGACAGGGUGUAUGAAUGUUUAACUCAGAUUAUAUUGAAUGUUUAUUUCUUUAUAAUCUGAGUUUGUAUGGCAUGUUGAAUUAUUAGUAUGUUAUUUUUGUAGUGGUGGUAGUGGUGUUGGGACGUA